AGCGUGGAGACAGGUGGUGCAUGGCUGUCGUCAGCUCGUGUCGUGAGAUGUUGGGUUAAGUCCCGCAACGAGCGCAACCCUCACCCCUUGUUGCUACCAGGUAAAGCUGGGCACUCUAGGGGAACUGCCCCGGUCAACGGGGAGGAAGGCGGGGAUGACGUCGAGUCAUCAUGCCCCUUACGUCCUGGGCUACACACGUGCUACAAUGGCCGGUACAAAGGGAUGCCACACCGCGAGGUAGAGCUAAACCCAAAAAGCCGGUCUAAGUACAGAUUGGAGUCUGCAACUCGACUCCAUGAAGGAGGAAUCGCUAGUAAUCGCGUAUCAGCACGACGCGGUGAAUACGUUCCCGGGCCUUGUACACACCGCCCGUCACACCACGAAAGCCAGCUGUACUCGAAGUCGCUGAG
rnacentral:rRNA from 1 species